rnacentral:rRNA from 1 species
UACAGAGGAUGCAAGCGUUAUCCGGAAUUAUUGGGCGUAAAGCGUCCGCAGGUGGUUAUACAAGUCAGUUGUUAAAGCGCAAGGCUCAACCUUGUAAAGGCAAUUGAAACUGUGUGACUAGAGUGUGGUAGGGGUAGCGGGAAUUCCUAGUGUAGCGGUGAAAUGCGUAGAUAUUAGGAAGAACACCAGCGGCGAAAGCGCGCUACUGGGCCAUAACUGACACUGAGGGACGAAAGCUAGGGGAGCGAAAGGG